rnacentral:rRNA from 1 species
UCCCAGGUUCAACCCUGAACUCGUGCCUUGGACUGCAAGGCUAGAGAUACCGCUCAAAGGGGGUUGGAAUUCCACAGUGUAGCCAGUGAAAUACGUAGAAAUUGUGAAGUACCACCAAUGGCGAAGCAGCCCCAUUGGUCGGAUACUUGACGCCUCCAUGGCACCGGAAAGCGGUGGGUAGCCAAACAAAGGAUUAAGAUACCCUUGGUAGUCCACGCCCCUUAAACGAUGUCAACCUAGGUGUUUGGGGUGGGGUAAAACCCAUUUAGUACCGGAGCUAAACGCGUGAAAGUUGACCGCCUGGGGAGUACGGCCGCAAGGGUUAAAACUCAAAGGAAUUGACGGGGACCCGCACAAGCGGUGGAUGAUGUGGAUUAAUUCGAUGCAACGCGAAAAACCUUACCUACCCUUGACAUGUCCAGAAGCCUGAAGAGAUUUGGGUGUGCCCGAAAGGGAACUGGAACACAGGUGCUGCAUGGCUGUCGUCAGCUCGUGUCGUGAGAUGUUGGGUUAAGUCCCGCAACGAGCGCAACCCUUGUCGUUAAUUGCCAUCAUUUAGUUGGGCACUUUAACGAGACUGCCGGUGACAAACCGGAGGAAGGUGGGGAUGACGUCAAGUCCUCAUGGCCCUUAUGGGUAGGACUUCACACGUCAUACAAUGGUCGGUACAAAGGGUCGCCAACCCGCGAGGGGGAGCCAAUCCCAGAAAGCCGAUCGUAGUCCGGAUUGCAGGCUGCAACUCGCCUGCAUGAAGUCGGAAUCGCUAGUAAUCGUGGAUCAGCAUGUCACGGUGAAUACGUUCCCGGGUCUUGUACACACCGCCCGUCACACCAUGGGAGCGGGUUCCGCCAGAAGUAGGUAGCCUAACCGCAAGGAGGGCGCUUACCACGGCGGGGUUCGUGACUGGGGUGAAGUCGUAACAAGGUAACCGUA